GAUCCUGGCUCAGGACGAACGCUGGCGGCGUGCCUAAUACAUGCAAGUAGAACGCACAGUUUAUACCGUAGCUUGCUACACCAUAGACUGUGAGUUGCGAACGGGUGAGUAACGCGUAGGUAACCUGCCUGGUAGCGGGGGAUAACUAUUGGAAACGAUAGCUAGUACCGCAUAAUAUUAAUUAUUGCAUGAUAAUUAAUUGAAAGGUGCAAUUGCACCACUACCAGAUGG
rnacentral:rRNA from 1 species